UUCCGGUUGAUCCUGCCGGAGGCGACCGCUUUGGGAGUUCGAUUAAGCCAUGCGAGUCGUGAGUCUUAGGGACUCGGCAUACUGCUCAGUAACACGUGGAUAACCUGCCCUAUCGUCUGGAAUAACCUCGGGAAACUGAGAAUAAGGCCGGAUAGUUCACAAUGCCUGGAACGGUUUGUGAAUCAAGGUAGGAUGGGUCUGCGGCGUAUCAGGUUGUAGGGGGUGUAAAGGACCCCCUAGCCUUCGACGCGUACGGGUGUUGGGAGACAUAGCCCGGAGAUGGAUUCUGAGACACGAAUCCAGACCCUACGGGGUGCAGCAGGCGCGAAAACUUCACACUGCAGGAAACUGUGAUGAGGGAACUCCUAGUGCAUGCACUAUGUGUAUGUAGAUCCUACUCUUAACAAGUAGAGGGAAAGGGCUGGGAAAGACCGGUGCCAGCCGCCGCGGUAAUACCGGCAGCUCAAGUGGUCGUCGCUUUUAUUGGGCCUAAAACGUCCGUAGCCUGUUUGGUAAAUCUGUGGGUAAAUCAACUCGCUCAACGAGUUGAAUUCUGCAGAGACUGCCAGACUAGGGACCGGGAGAGGUGUGGGGUACUCGAGGGGUAGGGGUAAAAUCCUGUCAUCCUUAGAGGACCACCAGUUGCGAAGGCGCCACACUAGAACGGAUCCGACGGUCAGGGACGAAGCCUAGGGGCACGAACCGGAUUAGAUACCCGGGUAGUCCUAGGUGUAAACGCUGUGAACUUGGUGUCGGGAGUCCGCAAUGGGCCCCCGGUGCCGGAGUGAAGAUGUUAAGUUCACUGCCUGGGGAGUACGGUCGCAAGGCUGAAACUUAAAGGAAUUGGCGGGGGAGCACUGCAACGGGAGGAGCGUGCGGUUUAAUUGGAUUCAACGCCGGA
rnacentral:rRNA from 1 species